rnacentral:rRNA from 1 species
UUCCGGUUGAUCCUGCCGGAGGUCACUGCUAUUGGGAUUCGAUUAAGCCAUGCGAGUCGAGAGGGUUCGGCCCUCGGCAGACUGCUCAGUAACACGUGGAUAAUCUGUCCUUAGGUGGAGCAUAAUCUCGGGAAACUGAGAAUAAUACUCCAUAGAUCUAGGAUGCUGGAAUGCACCUAGGUUGAAAGCUCCGGCGCCUAAGGGUGAGUCUGCGGACUAUCAGGCUGUAGUCAGGGUAAAGACCUGACUAACCUACGACGGAUAUGGGUUGUGAGAGCAAUAACCCAGAGACGAUAUCUGAGACACGAUAUCGGGCCCUACGGGGCGCAGCAGGCGCGAAACCUUCACACUGUGCGAAAGCGCGAUGAGGGAAUCCCAAGUGUUUGCUCGUAAGAGUAAACUGUUUCUAUGUCUAAAAAGCAGAGAGAGUAAGAGCUGGGUAAGACGGGUGCCAGCCGCCGCGGUAAUACCUGCAGCUCAAGUGGUGACCACUAUUAUUGGGCCUAAAACGUCCGUAGCCGGUUUAGUAAAUGCCUGGGUAAAUCGAGCCGCUUAACGGUUCGAAUUCCGGGUAGACUGCUAAACUUGAGACCGGGAGAGGCUAGAGGUACUCCUGGGGUAGAGGUGAAAUUCUGUAAUCCUGGGGGGACCACCAGUGGCGAAGGCGUCUAGCUAGAACGGGUCUGACGGUGAGGGACGAAGCCCUGGGGCGCAAACCGGAUUAGAUGCCCGGGUAGUCCAGGGUGUAAACGCUGCUUGCUUGAUGUUAGUCGGGCUCUGAGCCCGAUUAGUGUCGGAGAGAAGUUGUUAAGCAAGCUGCCUGAGAAGUACGGUCGCAAGGCUGAAACUUAAAGGAAUUGGCGGGGGAGCACAGCAACGGGUGGAGCGUGCGGUUU